AUCGAGAAGUUUUGAAGUACGAAGUGGGCGAAGAAGUGAUCGUGAGUUAACUAUGAGUCGAAUAAGUUGCUCGACCAUAGUUAGAAGAUGUCUUAGAUUGAUGGGACGGACGUUUUCGAAGCAUAACAUUUUUGGAAGCACGACGGUUUAGAAGCUCGACGUUUUGGAAGAAUGACAUUUCUUCAGCACGAAGUUUUCCGCAAAACUUCGUAUCAGCGGAAUAUUAUUUCGAAGACAUUGGAAACCUGAUGAGAAUUAAGCACGACGGGAAGCAAGCACGACGGGAAGCAAGCACGACGGAAUCGAAGCACGACGGGAAACCCCAAAAUUGGACAAAAAC
rnacentral:lncRNA from 1 species